rnacentral:rRNA from 1 species
GCGUGGCAUACGGCUCCUUAACACGUAGUCAACCUGCCCUGGAGAUGCGAACAACCCCGGGAAACUGGGAUUAAUUCGUGAUAGGUCAUCUCAUCUGGAAAGAGAGAUGGCUGAAAGGGGUGCGCGCCCUUCUUCUGCGUACUUGCUCCAGGAUGGGACUGCGUCCGAUCAGGCUGUUGGCGGGGUAAUGGCCCACCAAGCCAGUAACCGGUACGGGCCUUGAGAGAGGUGGCCCGGAGAUGGACACUGAGAGAAGGGUCCAGGUCCUACGGGGCGCAGCAGGCGCGAAACCUUCGCAAUGCGCGAAAGCGUGACGAGGUUAAUCCGAGUGAUCCCCGCUGAGGGGAUCUUUUGUCAGCUGUAAAUAGGCAGGCGAAUAAGGGGAGGGCAAGCCUGGUGUCAGCCGCCGCGGUAAUACCAGCUCCUCGAGUGGUCGGGGCGAUUAUUGGGCCUAAAGCAUCCGUAGCCGGUUCCGUAGGUCCUCUGUUAAAUCCAACCGCUUAACGGUUGACCUGCAGAGGAUACCGCGGGACUAGGAGGCGGGAGAGGCGGACGGUACUCCGCGUGUAGGGGUAAAAUCCUUUGAUCCGCGGAAGA